rnacentral:rRNA from 1 species
CCUACGGGUGGCAGCAGUGGGGGAUAUUGCACAAUGGGCGAAAGCCUGAUGCAGCGACGCCGCGUGAGGGAAGACGGUCUUCGGAUUGUAAACCUCUGUCUUUGGGGAAGAAAUCAGACGGUACUCAAAGAGGAAGCUCCGGCUAACUACGUGCCGGCAGCGGCGGUAAUACGUAGGGAGCGAGCGUGGUCCGGAAUUACUGGGGGUAAAGGGGGCGUAGGCGGGCUGGUAAGUUGAAUGUGUAAUCCACGGGCUCAACCGGGGAUCGCGUUUAAAACUGCAGGUCUUGAGUGAAGUAGAGGCAGGCGGAAUGCGUAGUGUAGCGGUGAAAUGCGUAGAUAUUAGGAGGAACACCAGUGGCGAAGGCGGCCUGCUGGGCUUUGACUGACGCUGAGGCUCGAAAGCGUGGGGAGCAAACAGGAUUAGAUACCCCAGUAGUC